rnacentral:rRNA from 1 species
CCUACGGGAGGCAGCAGUGAGGAAUAUUGGUCAAUGGACGAGAGUCUGAACCAGCCAAGUAGCGUGAAGGAUGACUGCCCUAUGUGUUGUCAACUUUUUUUAUAUGGGAAUAAUACGUUCCAUGGGUGGGUUUUUGUUUGUACCAUAUGAAUAAGGAUCUGCUAACUCCCUGCCAGCAGCGGCGGUAAUACGGAGGAUCCGCGCGUGAGCCGGAUUUAUUGGUGUUAAAGGGAGCGUAGGUGGAUUGUUAAGUCAGUUGUGAAAGUUUGCGGCUCAAUCGUAAAAUUGCAGUUGAAACUGGCAGUCUUGAGUACAGUAGAGGUGAGCGGAAUUCGUGGUGUAGCGGUGAAAUGCUUAGAUAUUACGAAGAACUCCGAUUGCGAAGGCAGUUCACUGGACUGCAACUGACACUGAGGCUCGAAAGUGUGGGUAUCAAACAGGAUUAGAUACCCCAGUAGUC